GAUGAAGAACGUAGCGAAAUGCGAUAAGUAGUGUGAAUUGCAGAAUUCAGUGAAUCAUCGAAUCUUUGAACGCACAUUGCGCCCCUUGGUAUCCCGAGGGGCAUGCCUGUUCGAGCGUCAUUUCACCACUCAAGCCUGGCUUGGUGUUGGGCGACGUCCCCUUUGGGGACGCGCCUCGAAACGCCCGGCGGCGUGGCACCGGCUUUAAGCGUAGCAGAAUCUUUCGCUUUGGAAGUCGGGGCCCCGUCUGCCGGAAGACCUACUCGCAAGGUUGACCUCGGAUCAGGCAGGGAUACCCGCUGAACUUAAGCAUAUCAAUAAGCGGAGGA
rnacentral:misc_RNA from 1 species